GAGGGGUUGGCCGCUUCCUCAUGGGAGCGCCUUAGCAGUGGACUGGCAAAGAACACCCCCUGGAAUGGAACCAGAGAUGAUGGUGUGGGAUUGCUAGAGAACAGUUAAGCAGAACCAGGCUAAGUGGUGGAACCUGAUAACAUGGCAUUGCAGAGAUGGCAGUGAGUGGCGUGCAGAGGCAGAGAUACCAGUGAGCAGAAAACGGCGGCAGAGAUAACAGUGGCAGUGGUAAGCUGUUACAGAGAUGACCUCUUCCUCCACUUUUAAGGCAUGUGAAUGCACCCCUGAAUUCUAGGACUUCACUGACCUUGGACAACCAUCUGUGAGUGGGGUGCAGUGGAGAAAAAGGGAAAUGAAAUGUUAAAGGGCCAUUCAUCCAUCAGACUUUCACACUGAGGCAGAGGACACUGCCAAAUAUACUGUAGGGCAGGAAAAUCUGUUCCCCUCCACAUCCAGAAGAACUAUCAAGACUAAGUGGGCCAUUGUGGAAUAUCACUACUUAAAGGCUGGUUUAAUGGCCCUCUUACACCUAUUAACAUGCUACAUGACAGAAAACAUGUCCCAUCAGCUUGAAUACUGGAAGAGGGAAAUAAAGAUAGCUGACAUGAAGAUUUUCCAUCUCUUUGAUGUUUGGACUCUUACUAAGGCUUGAGCUAAGAGACAAAAAAAGCAGAGAUCCCCAUGGUCAACCUAGGUUAGCCCUAAAAAAAAGAUUAAUUGCUGGCUGAUUAUUGCAUCUCUACC